rnacentral:rRNA from 1 species
GUGCCAGCAGCCGCGGUAAUACGUAGGUGGCAAGCGUUAUCCGGAAUUAUUGGGCGUAAAGCGCGCGUAGGCGGUUUUUUAAGUCUGAUGUGAAAGCCCACGGCUCAACCGUGGAGGGUCAUUGGAAACUGGAAAACUUGAGUACGGAAGAGGAAAGUGGAAUUCCAUGUGUAGCGGUGAAUGCGCAGAGAUUAUGGAGGACACCAGUGGCGAAGGCGACUUUCUGGUCUGUAACUGACGCUGAUGUGCGAAAGCGUGGGGAUCAAACAGGAUUAGAU